AUGGAGUUCUGGCCCGAGUUCUUGGCGAGCAGCGGCGGGCAUGAGUUCGUGGCGGGAGGCGUUGGCGGCAUGGCCGGCGUGCUGGCGGGCCACCCGCUGGACACGCUCCGCAUCCGCCUGCAGCAGCCGCCGCGGCCCGUGAGCCCCGGGAUCACCGCCGCGCGGGUGACGCGCCCGCCCUCCGCCGUCGCGCUGCUGCGCGGCAUCCUCCGCGCCGAGGGCCCCUCCGCGCUCUACCGCGGCAUGGGCGCGCCCCUCGCCUCCGUCGCCUUCCAGAAUGCAAUGGUCUUCCAAGUGUACGCAAUCCUCUCGCGGUCGCUGGAUCGACGGAUGUCCACCUCCGAGCCUCCCUCCUACACAAGCGUGGCACUCGCCGGCGUGGGCACCGGGGCACUGCAGACGCUGAUCCUGUCCCCCGUGGAGCUCGUCAAGAUCAGGCUGCAGCUGGAGGCGGCGGGGCGGAAGCGCCAGGGGCCGGUGGACAUGGCCCGGGACAUCAUGCGGAGGGAGGGCCUGCGCGGCAUAUACCGCGGGCUCACGGUCACCGCGCUCCGGGACGCGCCGUCGCACGGCGUCUACUUCUGGACGUACGAGUACGCGCGGGAGCGGCUGCACCCGGGCUGCCGCCGCACAGGGCAAGAGAGCCUCGCCACGAUGCUCGUGUCCGGUGGCCUCGCGGGGGUCGCCAGCUGGGUCUGCUGCUACCCGCUGGACGUGGUGAAGUCGCGGCUGCAGGCGCAGACGCAGACGCACCCGCCGUCGCCGAGGUACCGCGGCGUCGUCGACUGCUUCCGGAAGAGCGUGAGGGAGGAGGGGCUCCCGGUGCUGUGGCGCGGCCUCGGCACGGCCGUGGCGCGGGCGUUCGUCGUCAACGGCGCCAUCUUCUCGGCCUACGAGCUGGCCCUGCGCUUCUUGGUGCGCAACAACGGCCGCCAGACGCUGGUAAUGGAGGAGAUGAAGUGCCAUGAUCACUGA
rnacentral:rRNA from 1 species